rnacentral:lncRNA from 10 species
AGUCUGCUCUUCACACGGAUACCACGAAUGCCACGGUGGCCUCCUGAAGACGGAGUCUGGUCUCACAUUCCUCCAGCUUCCUAUGCAUAAACCCCAGCGAAGGGUGAGCGCACGGCAUGGCACCUGCAGCAUGGGGUUCACGUUCUGGAAGGUUCUGGCUGACUCCCACCCCGCCCUUCACUGGCCAAGUAAACUUGCAGAAGUUACUUAACCCUUGACCUAGAAGAGCCUCCUGUCACCUGAAAAGGGAAAGUCGGGAUUGUAAGGAAAGGAAUCUCAUAGGGCUUCUCUGAGGAGACAAAUCAUUGGAUUGGGCUUAGACGUUCCAUCCGUGGUCAGGACAACUAUGGAUGUGAAGGAUGGGAGAGGGGCCUCCUUCCGCAUGAGGUCCCCAGAGGAGAGGGGUUCAUCCUUCUCCAUCUAGGACUUGAGGGACAUCCUUCUCCAUCCAGGACUGAGAGGCAUCCUUCUCCUUGCAGUACCUGAGGGACAUCCUUCUCCAUUCAGGACCUGAGGAUGUCCUUCUCUGUACUCCCUUGGGACUGCACCCUUUCCUGUGCCAUCCUUCAGAAUGCUAGGCUGUCGCUGGUUGUGGAUUGAACUCUAGCAUCUUAUCUCUAUUCUAGACAUUAUGAAGAGCACCAAAGUGCAAGCCACAGGAUGGUAGAUGCUAUUUACAAUCCAUUCAACCAACAAAGGAUUUACAUGUGGACCACAGAGAGAACUGCAGGCCAGCAAGGAACCACAGGGAGAACUGCAGGCCAGUGAAG